UAGGGUGCAAGCGUUGUCCGGAAUUACUGGGUGUAAAGGGAGCGCAGGCGGACCGGCAAGUUGGAAGUGAAAUCUAUGGGCUCAACCCAUAAAUUGCUUUCAAAACUGCUGGCCUUGAGUAGUGCAGAGGUAGGUGGAAUUCCCGGUGUAGCGGUGGAAUGCGUAGAUAUCGGGAGGAACACCAGUGGCGAAGGCGACCUACUGGGCACCAACUGACGCUGAGGCUCGAAAGCAUGGGUAGC
rnacentral:rRNA from 1 species